rnacentral:lncRNA from 1 species
UGACCGCGUCACAGCUGAAGGAGGAGCUGCUAGAUGGAGAGGAGUAUAGCUUCCUUCACGGAGCAUCUGACCAAGAGAGCAAUGGCUCUGCCACCGUCUACAUCAAACAGGAGCCAUAGGCGACUCAGCAGCUGUGGGUGGAAGGGGCUGUUUACAGGACUGAUCUGUAGUCGGCCCGCCGCAGAGCAGGCCAUUCUACUGGGACAUUUUGCUAAAUACAGAAAAGUUCAGUUCCAGAUUUUUCAGGUGGGGGGGAAACUAUUUUGGUGGGGGGACAAUUUUUCAAUUUAUAAAGACGGACAAUUUUUGUGUUGUAUUUGAAGCUUUUGAAAGAAUUUUGUAAUAUUUUCCAAGUUUGGAUUUAUGUGCAUUGUUAACAAGAACUGAAAUUAUAACUUUUUUGGUAAGAUAAAAGUUUAGGUAGCAGGAUUGAAGGAAAUGAUUAAGAAGGAUAUUUGUAAAUGCAAAUGAACUGUCAUUACAAAUGAACCUUCUUGGUACCUGUUGGGAGAUUUUUGGAUUUUAGAGUUAGGCCAGUCACAUCUCCAGCUUCCUUUGCUGCGAAAAUAUGCAACUGAACCCCUCACAGAGGGCUCAUCACCAUGUAGAUCACGGAAGGGGUCAUUAAUUGUGCUCGCUGACAUUUUAUUGCAGCCCGUUUAACUGUUUGUACAGAAAUUUUUUCAUUCUGGUAAAAAUUUAUUUGGAGUUGUAUAUGAAACUAGGAGAACUCUGGAUACUUUUUUAUGCUCUCCUUCACAUAAAAAUGAUUAAAAUUUUCUAACACUAAAGUGUUAAACUGGAAUGGUUGACAAAAUACACAGGAUCUCAGUCUACAUAAAGGGUUGGGGGAAAUUAAUAUUUUCCUAAGUUUAUUCUGUUUUCCUUGCUAGAAAACAUCCCACUGAAGGGAUGUUCUUACCAGACCUCUGCCACGUCCUCCAUUUGUGAGAGCAGCCACCCCUAAAGCAGACACCGUUCUGAACUCACGAAAGACUCAGACGGGAAUGUCGGCAGCCAUUCCAGCUCCACUCUUAACUGUCCUGAAUUUGUUAGAAACUGAUCUGAAAGAAAAUUUGUCUUAAAAUUCCAUAUACACGCACACACGCACGCACGCACACACACACAACGAAUUGUCUUUAAUUAUAGUCAGAAUUUUUUCUAACAAUAACUGAUUUGGACCAUUUUAAACAUUCCCUGUUCUAAAGUUCAUGCGGCUUCCUUUAAGAAGUAGGACAAAAGGGUAAAUUUGUGACAGGUUUGCUCUCUGCGCUUCCUAACCUACAGAAUUGUGACUGAAUCAGAGAGCUCUAGCAUUUACCAGUGAGGUUCAUAAACUAAACUCUCAGGAAUUCAUUGCAUCUGUUCUAGAAGUGCUUCUGGGUCUGAGCCUGGCCUCUUCAGAGUGGUAAUACUGCCCAUUUCCUCUGGAAAAUAGGCAGGGCUAAUGAGAAAUUAAUCAAAAUGAUUAACCUCUUUCGCCCGUUAGCCUAUGGAAUGCUUUAAAAAAAAAAAAAAAAGAAAAGAAAAAAAUGGUAAUGGAAACCCCAGGAGACAUUUUAGGUAAGAUUUUUGUUUGACUUUUAAAUGCAUAGAACAUUAAAAACCAGCAAUUUAUUUUCUAAAAUAUUGCUCUACUUUUGGGAAUAAUAGCAUUGGUAAUAUGCACAGGUUUACCUCAUUCUAUGCAAGAGGGGUUAAUAACAUAAGGUUUUGUAGUAGCUACUGGAAGUAAAAUGUGUUACUUUUUAGUGUAAAAAUGUAUGGAAUCGCAUGUCACCAUUUUUUAAUACUGACUCUGGGGGCUAAAUGCAGAUCAUCACAUCAAUGCAAGUUGAUUCUUGUGUCAAAUAUAUGUGAAUUCAGCUGUAAAAUUACUGGAUAUUUAUCUUAAACAACAGUGCUGAGAGGGACCUACUGUAAAUGUGACAUCCUCACACUUCCCCAAUCUUUGACUUUGAAGGAUCUUCCCAGAAGCUUAAAGCCUAGACGAGGUCCAAAGCAAAGGUCAUAGCAGUCUUUAUUCUCAGGCUCAGCGGAUUACGCCCAGGACUGUGCUUCCGAGGCACCAGUGCAAGAAGCCUGUAGUAUGUAUGGGGUGCUCUCAUGCCUUGCUGUAGGAGCUCUCCAGGGAACUAACUCACUCGACGCCAGGAAGGAUGUGAUUGAAGCCAGCCAGUCCUGGUAAUUAGUUCUGUGAAAUGCUCAUUUGUAGCCAGGUUUUACAAGCUUCCAAUUCUACACCAAAACCAGGCUUGGCAUGUUUAGAAUUCCCCGCCUACAUUCAUAAAGUGUCUAUGUUCACUAAUAGAUCGGUAAGGACUUGCUAGAGUCCAAACAGAAUCCGAAGCCCUCUUCUUCGUUAAGACCCUCACUCCUGCUGCUAACACAGAGCGUUAACCAGAGGAGGCGUCCAUCGUAGCCAUACUUCCUGUCGUCCUACAACUCAGUAGCCCGUUCUCUUUCACAGUUGAACAUGUGCUGCUGACCUUGGGUUUGUUUGUGUUUUCCUGUUAGAAGCCUGGGAACUCUGAGUAGUCUAACCUUUUUAACCUUUUUCCUUGCUGUGUAUGAGGAAAGCUAAGCCGUUAUCAGCUUCUUAUUCUGCGGAUACUAACACGGGUUUUCAGUGUUUGUUUGUUUUUAUUAUUAAUUAAUUUUGUGUGAUGUGAAUACCCUCGCCCGUCAAUAUUUGUAUUAUGGUGCUAUAUAUUUGGUAAUGAUCCUUUAAUAUUGGGGAGGGAUUUUAAAAAUACUGUGAUUAAACUGGGUAUCUUCCUUUGAUUUUCAUAUUUUAAAUAAAGCCACAGUCAUUUAUACAAAAACAAACAAAAAAAGCAUCUGUCCCUGGGCAAACCUUUCAAGGACAGAGGCCAAAGUAAAGUACAUAAGGUUUUUACAUUGUUUCUGUGUUCGUUUGAUAUAUAGAACAAUAUCUGGACAAAUUUAAUCUUUUAUUUUCUGGUAACUUGUGAUCAUUGAGGAAGUGUUUGAAGCUUUCUCAUGGAAUGUAUAUAAUGUCGUGAAAAAUUCAGAGAAAUUUAUGUUCCUUUCAUUUUUACCAAAAUGCAAAUUUUCAGCAUGGAUGUGAAAAGCAUUAAAAUUAUAACUUUGUGUACAAGAUGAAAAUAAUUCACUAAAUUUGCCCUUUUUUUACACAAAAUAAAAUGUUAAAGUUAAGCUUU